rnacentral:rRNA from 1 species
GCCAGACUCCUACGGGAGGCAGCAGUGGGGGAUAUUGCACAAUGGGGGAAACCCUGAUGCAGCGACACCGCGUGGGUGAGGAAGCGCUUCGGCGUGUAAAGCCCUAUCAGUGGGGAAGAAAAAGGACGGUACCCAAAGAAGAAGCACCGGCUAAAUACGUGCCAGCAGCCGCGGUAAUACGUAGGGGGCGAGCGUUAUCCGGAUUCACUGGGUGUAAAGGGAGCGUAGACGGCCAUGCAAGCCAGGGGUGAAAGCCCGGGGCCCAACCCCGGGACUGCCCUUGGAACUGCAUGGCUGGAGUGCGGGAGGGGCAGGCGGAAUUCCUGGUGUAGCGGUGAAAUGCGUAGAUAUCAGGAGGAACACCGGCGGCGAAGGCGGCCUGCUGGACCGCGACUGACGUUGAGGCUCGAAAGCGUGGGGAGCGAACAGGAUUAGAUACCCGCGUA